UUUUAAAACAAAACACAAAAUCUGCUGCUCCAUCCUAAAACCCCUCAGUGUUCAGCCCUGCUUCCUCAAAUUGCAGCUAAAGCAAACGUACCACUAAAGGACACGGGAUUCAGAAUGAAUCAAACAAGCUAUUAAUUUUUUUUUGCUCUGUUCUUCAGGAAGCAGGAAGAGAAGGAGCGCGUGAGAGGUCCAUAAAUCAGGCCCGGGCUGGCCGUUCACGUGCCGGCUUUAGGAGAGGCAGGACGAGUGGCCCCGCGGGUCCUUCAGCGAGCGGCCUUCUCCUCCAGGACCGUCGAGCAAUAAGAGAGGAAGGAAGCGCUCUCGAGUGCCUCGGGGAGACUUGACAUUUCUGCCGAGACGUGAUACAGCACCAAACUCUCGCUCGAGCGGCAGAUAGUCGUCGCUUUAUAACGCGCGACGAAGCUCCGGUGACCUCUGACCCGGGGACGAGCGGAGCCGGCAGGCGCCUGGAAUCAACACCUGCGUGAUGCGGCUGCUGCGUAGAGAUGAGCCCAAAUGCGAAACAGGGUCGUUGUUAGGAGCGAGCUGGAUUAAGGGAGCCAUAAUAAGGCGCCAAAUAUGCCAUACUCCCAAGAAGACAAUAAUACGAGGCCGGGUUAUAAGAUCACACGGACGAAGAUGGGCCACAGGAACUACAGCGUUUUACCCAAGACAUCAAUCUAGCUCUGAAUUCCAGGAUUAUGUGAAAUUAAUUCAGUUUUAGCGGGCCGAGGAACAGAUGGCUGUUUCAUUCAGGACUCAGGCUGGUUUUGUUGCCUGGCAAUCUCUUCCCAAACCAAAUCAGAGACCGUAAACUGUCACUUAGGGCCGCCGGAAUCUCAUUUCCCCACACAACUCCAGCCACGAGAUCGACGGUCUCUCUUCACGCCCGCGCCGCUGCCCCCUGCUAAGAGCGCUACGCAAAACAGGGAAGGCCUUCGGAUUAAUUGACAUUUCAUGAAAUUAUACCCAGCAAACCCCUUUCAAGAUACGGCGAGGCCGAGCGGAAGAUGUAUCGCGCACUUUCUGUUCCGAACCUUUAAAUCCUAGCGCGGAGUGGUAAUAAAUGCCACGGAGAAAGUUUUAAAAGAAAGCGUUUUGGAGACGCGACUGAGGUUAAUGGGGGAAAAUUGAUAGUACCGUUGAUAAAUGCCAUGGUGGAUUCUUUAUUACAUGUGGAAGUAAAAGAGAAAAAUGGUUUUGUUGCUCAAAGACAUAUAAAGUUCGAAUAAAGGGGUAGUUCACCGGGGAAUCGUUUUUAUUCCCUCGUGACAAUUUCAUGUCAUUCUGUCGAUUAUUGCAAGAAUUUUCACACCGUGCGGUGAACGGUAAGGAUACUAGAAAUGAAAAGCUUUGGCGUACAGAGAAGCGCGCUGUUAAUGGUCCCAGUUUACGAAAAAUGGCUAAAGUUGCACUAUUUUUGACGCCGGGCCAGUAGAUGGCGAUGUCACUUUGCAAUGAAACUAUGCGUCUGCACAAUAUGUAUAACUACAGACUAAAAAUGACAAAUUCGCAUUUACACAGUAUACAAAGAGACAGUAUCGUUUAAAAAAAAACUUGCUCUUAAAGCAUAAAACAUUUGUGUUUUAAGGUCAUCAAAAUUCAAUUGUAACAGUCGAAACGCGUAUAAAGUGCCUUGUAAACACCCUCUAAAAGUACAUAUUCUGAUGCAGAACAGAGAUGAAUUAAAGUUGUGUGCUAAAACAGCUAUUUAGAAGAUUUGGCCGUCUCUUUUCGUCUUCAUUGGAAAAAGCAAAAGCUAAAAGCAUAAAUAAUGGCUAAAGAUUGACAGAUAGGCCUACUUCAUAAUUAAAGGACCUAGCCUAGUCGGAAAUUUACAAUAAAAAGUCUCGUUAUCGUCCCGUAAAAGCAGUAUUUGCACUGUACUCCAAGAUGCAUCGAAGAGUAUCGCGGCACAUGUUCGAUAAAUGUGUUCAUUUACAUUCACAUUUAAAUGAUCGACUUUUAAUUCAUUUUACUUUAUGGUAAAACUUUCCUAAAAACGAUACUGUAGACAGUU